AGCUUUGUGCAGUGGCAGUAUCGUAGCCAAUGAGGUUUAUCCAAGGCGCAAUUAUUGCUAAUUGAAAACUAUAUGAAGUAACAAAGCU
rnacentral:snRNA from 1 species